UGUGUCACCAUGAAAGUCAUUUUAUUUGUUCCCCUUUACAGCUAAACAUGACAUUCCACUUGUUCAUAGUGGCACUUGCUGGAGCUGGAGCAGCAGUCAUUGCUAUGGUUCAUUAUCUCAUGGUCUUGUCUGCCAACUGGGCCUAUGUGAAAGAUGCUUGCAGAAUGCAGAAAUAUGAGGAUAUCAAAUCAAAGGAGGAACAAGAGCUUCAUGAUAUUCAUUCUACUCGCUCUAAAGAGCGGCUCAAUGCUUACACAUAAAAGAAACCUUGUCUUACUUUUUAACAUAAGAAUGCUUUGUUGUUUAACUAAAGGCCGUCCAACCAUUUUAAAAACAACUGAAAGUGCUUCUCACAAAAGAUUGUUUGGGUGACUUACAUAUUACCCAUGUACAAUUCUUGGUUGUCUAGCACUUGGUUUCUUAAUUAGUUCUUACUUUGUGUGAUCAUUCUCUACCACAAAGCUCCUAAAUAGCCUUUCCUGAAUUCUCUUAAGCUAAUUAGUUCUGCUAGGUCAAGGAUACUAAACUAUUGUCAAAUGCAAAUACGUGUUUGAUUUUUUAAUCACUUUGUAUGUGUUAUGCAUAACACCUUUUGCAUUGUUUCUUAUAUGUUUUUGGAAAAAAAAGUAGCUUUUUAUACUUUUUGGUUUUGAGUUCAGUAACUACUUUAACUACAGGUAUACUUCAAAGGGACCAUUGUACCUGAUGUACAAUAUAGGAAGAAAACAUUCUGAUGACUUUCCUUAAUAUUUGGAAAACUUGCUAGAUGGACCCUGAUCCUGUUGAAUGAAGGUCCUACUGAUGUUUUAAACAAUCAAGGGUGCAAUUUCUAAAUUUGUAGUGGGUAAUGAAAAAAGAAAAAAAGAG